UACAGAGGUCCCGAGCGUUGUUCGGAUUCAUUGGGCGUAAAGGGCGUGUAGGCGGUAAGGAAAGUCAGAUGUGAAAUCCCCAGGCUCAACCUGGGAACUGCAUUUGAAACUCCCUUUCUUGAGUACCGGAGAGGAAAGUGGAAUUCCUGGUGUAGAGGUGAAAUUCGUAGAUAUCAGGAGGAACACCAGUGGCGAAGGCGGCUUUCUGGACGGUAACUGACGCUGAGACGCGAAAGCGUGGGGAGCAAACAGG
rnacentral:rRNA from 1 species